GUGCCUAACACAUGCAAGUCGAACGCGAGGGUCCCGCAAGGGACUAGUAGAGUGGCAAACGGGUGAGUAACACGUGGGUGACCUGCCUUCGAGUGGGGGAUAACGUCCCGAAAGGGACGCUAAUACCGCAUGACAUCCUGCCGUUGAAACCGGUGGAGAUCAAAGCUGGGGAUCGCAAGACCUAGCGCUUGAAGAGGGGCCCGCGUCCGAUUAGCUAGUUGGUGGGGUAACGGCUCACCAAGGCGACGAUCGGUAGCCGGCCUGAGAGGGCGGACGGCCACACUGGGACUGAGACACGGCCCAG
rnacentral:rRNA from 1 species